UCAGCGACAGCUUUAGUCUUAUAUUUAUAAGACUGCCAUGUAACUAUGGCGAUAACUAUUAAUAUAUAUGUAUAUUUACAUAUAUAUAUAUAUGUAUAUAUGUAUAUACAUAUCUCUAUAAUUGUGUCUAUGAGAGUAUAUUUGGAUAUAAAUAGGAGAGAAAACAAAAGACCGAUGUGUGUAUGAAAAGUAUUUGUUCGAGACUAACAGUGUUCUUUGACAUAGCUUCAGUCGUCAUUUAUUACUCAAGAGGUAAGAAACACGAUGAUAAAAGUGAACUCAUACAAGCGGCGGCAGGAAUCCACCGCUUACAAUAAUUUAAUUCAAAUAUAAACAUAUCUGCAGCAGAAUGUGCCGAUGUGAUUGAGUGUGUAAGUGCGUAUAAAUUGUAGGAGACAUGUGUACAAGUGUAUAUAGUAUUAUAGUAUUAUAUACACACACAUAUAUUUAUAUGUGUAUGUGCGUGUGUGUGUGGGGGAGGGGGGUGUACGUUUAUAUAUGCACAUACAUGAAAAUAUAUAUGCGUUUAUGUAUAUAUAUAUAUAUAUGUAUAUAUACAUAUAUAUAUAUAUAUAUAUAUAUAUAUAUAUAUAUAUAUAUAUAUAUAUAUAUAUAUAUAUAUAUAUAUAUAUGUACGUAUUAUGUAUCUAAGUAUAGAUAUUUGCAUAUAUACAUAUAUAUAUAUAUAUGUCUAUAUGUAUACAUAUAUAUUUAUGCAUAUGUAUGUAUGCAUGCAUGUAUGAAUGAGGUUAUCUUUUAAUUUUGUGUAUGUUCUUCAUAAGAGAGUGAAGCCGGUCGCUAACUAAGUAACAAGCCACAAACCGGAUUUUAAAAUUAAACGAAUAUAUUAAAUUUUACAUAAUCUUAUAACAGAUUAUAAUUGUGCCAGCCUGCCGAUAUGCAUGUAACUGCAAAUAUUUCACAUUUAAUAACACUCCGAAAUAGGACCACCGAUGUAUUAAGAAGGCUGUUACUUCAAUCAUCUACAAAAAGCUAAAAACGUAACACAAAUCGAGACAGUACAAGUGGUAGUGUAGAAACAAACAGAAUUAUUCAUGCGCAAUUUCGUUCAAAAUGGAUGUGAAACACAGCCACUCAUGCCGUCGAAAACAGCGGCUAAAUCUCUCACAGCCGAAACAUGCCGUCUAAAAUAAAACAGAAAAGAAGAAACAUAUUAUAAGUAAUACUAUGUAGAUAUCGUUAGAUGUUACAACUUUCGUAUUCUCUGCAAACAAUUGUCUUAUUAUCAACCUAUGUUUUAAGAAUACGAUGUAUAGCAAAAUCUAAACUUUUGUUAUUUUCUUUCUCUCCUUUCGAGUUAAUUCAUAUGGUUCAUUAUAAUGAUUAUCUGAUAAAACCUCUCUCUUUUACUAUUCCACCCUCUCUCUCUCUCUUUCUCAUUCACUCUCACUCUGUGUGCAUCUCUCUCUCUCCUUAUUUGUAUGCAUGUAUGUAAGUAUGUACGUUCGUACAUAUGUUCGUAUGUACGUAUCUAUGUAUCUAUGUGUAUAUGUAUGUACGCAUGUAUGUAUAUCAUGUAUAUCAUUAUAAUAUAAUUAGCCAGAUAGGCAGCGUUUCUGCCAGAUUAUUUAAUGGACAUAGGAAAAUACAGUGUAGGUGCAACUGACAGAACCACCGCUAUUUAUGACUAAGCGCAUUGACUUGCCUCCUCCAUACAUGUUAUCAGUAACUGACAGUUGUAUUCAGAGAUCCAGAUAAGUGUUGGAAAACACAAGCGGGUUGCCCAUAUUCAUAGCCACAGCACAUAAUAGUUUUCCACUGAGGCUAAGUGUAUAUUUAUGAAGCUUUCUCAAUAUGAUACUGUAAAGAGGCCAUCUAAGUUCAUAGUCUUUCGGCCCUCCUUGCCAACUGGACAACCAUCAGCUUUUCAAUCCUCUGAUCCGUUCUGCGCUAUUGCUAGCAGAAUCCUUCUAACUUCACGGGUCUUAGAAGUCCACUUCCAAGGUUAUCUUACAUAUGCCUUACAUUCUGGAAAGUUCUAGCGGAAUACAAUCGCUCUUAAUUAAUGAGUGAUCAUAUAUGACUUUGUGAAGUCACGUGGACUAGUGCAAUGCUCCGCAACCUUUUCGCACUUGCGGUACACUUAAAUUCUUUUCAAACUUCGGCUGCACACCUUAUAUAUAGGGGGAAAAUAUAUUCAGAUUAAACUGCUGCACACCUAGCAUCGUCUCGUGGCACACUAGCCUUCUGCUGCAUACCCGUUGGUUAGCGUGUUGCAGUCUCUAUCUGGCGAUCGCAUCGUGUUUCGUUAAAGAUAUAUGGCGUUGUACCAUACAGAUUUGAUUAUGAAGCGCUAGCUGAUACCCCUGGUCUUCCUGAUCACGUUUCUUAGAUUUUCACACCUUUGAGCUGCCUCUUUAUGCUUUCUAUACAUUUGACACUAUAUCGCCGGGUAAUACUCUCUCUGAGGUACACUAGUUCAGAACCAUAAUCAGUGAUCACUUCAUUGCAAGCCAUAGGAUCUCGAACAUCGCACUAUACAAUUUCAUAUUCCAUUUCUUACAUACUUCGUAAAACCACACGUUUCAGUAAGAAUUUCAAUUCCCACAUAGAAAAUUUAGAAAUAGUGGAGGAUAGUAUAUUACAUUGUCUCUUGAAGAUGCGUGUACAUACACAGGGGGAGAGAAUUUAUAUACUUUUAUAUAUGUGUGUUUGUGUGCGUAUGUGUAUUGUAUACCUGUUGCUAUAUAUGCGUGAUUUUACGCAUGUGUGUCUAUAUGUAUGUGUGUAUGUGUUCAAACAUGCAUGCACUAAAAUAUAUGUAGUAAAUAUAAAGUGAAAAUAUGCGUUUGGUAGAUAGUCAUCAAACAAGGGAGACAAACAGAAAAAAGAGAUAGCUUAGAUUGAGAGAGAGAGAGAGAGAAAGACAGAGAAAGAGAGAGAGAGACAGAGAAGUAGACAAAGGAUAUUAUAUAGGCUUAGUACUAUAUAAAUGUGAUUCUUUUUGAAUGUACGUGUUCAAGAGAAUAUUUAUUGGAUUGCGAAAGAAAGAAAAGUUGGAAUAGACAAACCACUAUAACAUUGACUCAUAAUGCACAAGAUAUAUUAAAACAAGAUGAAAGUUUGCCCAUUAUAUCAAAUAUUGCUUUGGCAGUUAGCCACCUCUGAAUUACAGUUAGGUGUAAACGUUUACCAACAACAAAGAGGUGUCAGACUACAGAAGAUUGAUUAAAAACACAGGAACACAUUUCAUAUGUAAAGACGUACACACACCACAAAAAUCUUGACUACAUCUCAAUACACACGUGUCAUCAUCCAAGCAAUUUCAUAUGCACGCAAAUGUAUUGAAGCACGUGCAUGCACAUUCAGACACAAGCGCAUAUGCAUGCACACACACACACACACACACCUGUUGAAAAGUGAUUAUACUUCAGUUGAAGCUUGUUCUUUUUUACAUAAAACAACUAUAUCAAUAUAUGUGUAUGCGCUUGUGUAUAUACAUACAUAAAUGAAAACAUACACACACACACACAUAUAUAUACAUGCCCCUCCCCCGCACGCACACAUACUCAUAUACACAUACACACAUAUAUAAAUGCAGUAAUAUACCACAUUAGCGUUUAGAAGAAUUUGCGGUAUAUACUGGAUGCAUAAAUAUCUAUUUGUAUAUAUAUAUAUAUAUAUAUAGAUAUACAUAUAGAUAGAGAUAGAGAUAGAGAUAGAGAUAGAGAUAAAUAUAGAUAUAUAUACGUAUAUAUCUAUAUCUAUCCAUCUAUCUAUCUAUCUAUCUAUCUAUCUAUCUAUCUAUCUAUCUAUCUAUCUAUCUAUCUAUCUAUCUAUCUAUCUAUCUCUCUCAAUAUAUAUAUAUAUAGUUCCACUUUACAGAAAACAAAAGACGAAGACAGGUGAGGGAACAAGAAGAGGUGUUAGUUUGAUGAUCGAGGAAAAACGGAAAAGUCUUUGACGCUUCGAGCCUACGAUCAUAUGCAUGUGUGUGUGUGUGCGUGCGUGUGUGUAAUCCUAUACAUAUAUCCGCCAACAUAUCUGUAUACACGCUCACUCACAUACGCUGACCUACACAUAUAUUUGUAAUAAUUUCCCAAGUAGUAUCUAAGUGUUGAUGUGUGCGCGUGCUCAGGCGCGGUCGUGUGUAUGUGUUUGUGUAUGUGCGUGCGCGUUCGUGUCUGUAUAUGUGUGAAUAUGCGUAUUUUGUCAUAAGCAUAUGUCUAUAGAUUUCUAUACUUGUGUCCCUGUGUGUCUCUGUAUGUUUGUAGUCUUUAUAUAUAUAUAUAUAUGCACUCAUCUCACGUUUUUCAUUCUUCGAUAUAUGUAUUGGUGUGCGAAUAAUGAUGAACAUAUUACAUAGACACAUUGGUUAUGAAUGAAUUUGGAGAGUAAUAAUUCAGAUCUUGUGAAGCUGAUAAAUAUUUGAAUAUGAUUUACUAUUUAGCUUCUUUGGGUCGACGGGGGAAUUAUGUCUAAAUUUAAACUGCAUCGCUGACUUCCUCGUUACAGGGAUGUUUAUCGUAAUUCUACACGGCUUCCAAUCGAGAUGUUCGCAUUCAAACGAACAAUUUGGAUGUCACUGUCGCGGUCAGAUCUUGCAGAUAUUAAAAAUAAAUCUGUAUCGCUAUCUUUAUACAGGAAGAAUGAAGUUUUUUCCUCCCUCAAUUGAAUGUGGUUACAAGUUCUUUAGCCAUCAUAAAAGAUUAAUUGCGAUUUAGAGCCAAGUUAAACAUACGUCCCAAGAUACUCUUAUAAUGAUUUCCUCCUACAUCAUUUUUUUUUCAUACAUAUCAUAUAGAUAACCAUGUUUCCUAAUGUCACUCAAAUGGUCAGUACGAUCGCGAGAUGUUUGAGGGAGAUCUUAUUGCUAUUUUGAUUAAGUGGACCAAUCACUUACAAGUUCUCUCGCUAAUCUUGCUUGUAUACAUUCACAUCACAGGUGAUAUAAAAUGUCCACUGCGUGAUGUGUUAUCUUUAUAUAUAAAAGAGAGGUUGUAUGCUGUCUGUCUCCUACGAUUUAGAUUCCUAACUACUCCCACAUUUUGGGGUGCAGUUUAACCAAAACCGGGUAUCUUAUAGUCGUGAUUCAUAUCGAGCCCUUCUGGGUAUUAGCGCGCGUCUACGAUGAGUCUACGAUUUAAAAAAAAAUUACCAUCAAUUUUUCCCAUUUUUCAUUCAUUUCUGGCAUAUAUAAGGGAAGUAACACUCUAAAAAUUUAUUAUUAAAUCUCAGAACUUAAAAAGCUACAGUAACAACCCCUUUGUGGUUAGCCAUAUUGAGAUGGCUAUUAUACUUUACAUCUCUAAAAAUGCUUAUAUAGUUAUUUCCCUUACAAACUCGAGCAACGCCGGGCGAAACUGCUAGUUACUAAUAAAUUUGAAAAUAAUUUCUUGACAUGAUGUUUUCGGUUAGGUUCCAACGGUAAAAAAAAUUCCCACCUGUACCUCGUGAAAGGAUACGCAAACCGUUGUUCAGCAUCAGUCAUCUGGAUCAUUACGACGUAACAAAAUAUAUUUUCUCUGAAGUAUAAACUCUAUUUUCAAUUAAUUUAUGUUUACAAGAUAUAACUAUCGUUCCGUUGACAAAAUAUGACGAGGUAUAUGCGGUGACGUUAAAUAUUUGACCAGAAUUUCAUUUGUUAGCCAUGAAUUUUUCGUAACUUUAGGCGAAAUUCGCGUUUAGGAAUUUUGGUGCUUAUGCAUCAAACUGAUGCAAUAAAAUAAAUUAUUUCUGACAGGAAUUGCAAGAGAACAGCGAAUGCCAUUUAUUGAAUGCCUUUACUUUCAUAAACAAGACAUCAGCUACUAAAUUUUCUGUAUUUGGCAAAAAUAAUGUCUUAGAGACACAGAAAGAAAAGUGAUUGGGUCUUUCGAUAUUUUAGUGGUUCUUUUAUGAUAAAUAUUUAAUGCAGGAAAUAAAGUAUAUCGGAAUACCCGGAAAUCCAAACCAGAUGUAAUGUACCAUUUAUUGUAUUUCUAGAUAAAAGCUAUAUCCGAAUCUGCUGAAGGGAAACAAAAUGAUUACUCAUGCGGAGAGGAUGACUAAUAUCAUAGGAAGUAGUGACUUUCAACAAGCUAUAAGCAUGCUAGGCAUACAAUUACGAAUACAGAACCACACACAGUAACUCACCCACUCAUUCACAUCCUCGCUGUCUUUCUUCUUUUUCUCACUCAUAUAUAUAUAUAUGUAUAUAUAUAUACAGAGAGAGAGAGAGAGAGAGAGAGAGAGGGGAGAAAGAGAUAAAUAGAUAUAGAUAGAUAGAUAGAGAGAGAGAGAGAGAUUUAUAGAUAGAUAGAUAGAUAUAUAGAUAGACAGAUAGAUAGAUAGAUAGAUAGAUAGAUAGAUAGAUAGAUAGAUAGAUAGAUAGAUAGAUAGAUAGAUAGAUAGAUAGAUAGAUAGAUAGAUAGAUAGAUUUAUAGAUAGAUAGACAGACAGAUAGAUAGACAGACAGACAGACAGACAAAUAGAUAUGUUUCUUUAUUAGCCACACAGGGCUGCACACAGAUAGAACAAAUUACAAGGUAGAGCUUUUCUUUUGAAGGUUUAAAAAAUAAAAAAAAUAAAAAAUAAAAAAAUAAAAUAAAAAUAAAAUAAAAAGGGGGGUCGAUCAAAAGGGAUCGUAAAAGGAGAGAAAGAGGACAAAAAAAAAGGGGGGGUUAAAAAAAAAGGGGGAGAGGAAAAAAAUUGAUCAAUAGGGAUCGUUAUCACAGAAAUGUCAAUAUGAAGUGUAAAGGGGAGGACAGGUGAGGUUUACCCGUGGAAAGAAAAGCCUACGGAAAAGACCACGGUAACCUCGGUCAAUGAAGUCACAUGUUAUAUUUCUUUUUUUUUUUUUUUUUUUUUUUGCAAAUAAGCAACUCUCUGUAUUAAUUUUUACGGUUCAUAGAAUCAUAGUCAAGGUGGCUUCGUCAUUCAUACGUGCCAUCCUUGCUACAUUCACCCAUCUUUUUUUAAAACAUUCACUAGACAAAACUUGCCUCUCUACUCUCACUUUUUUCUUCAAGUGAUACUUGAAGAAGUUGAUGAGAGAUUGACCAGAGAGGAAAGUGUUUGUCUCUAAUCCUUUCAGACGCGUCCACCAGAUACAUUCUUUCGCCAUAGCCACAAGUAUGAUAAAAAUAGCUCUUCCUUCCCGUUUGAAGGAAGGAGGCGUGACGAUAUUAACGAUAGACUCGGCUGAUAAACCGACACGUCCCACACGUGACAGCAGUCGUUCGACAUAAGCCCACAGGUGGGAAAUUGCUGGACACUGCACGAUUGCGUGCAGAGCGGUUUCGUCGCUCUGCCCGCAUCUCGGGCAGGUCGGCCCCGUGUUUCUCGAGCCAUGCCUAUAGAGCUUAUCCCGAACGGGUAGCGCUUCUCGGUAGCACCGCCAGGCCAGGGAUCUCUGGAAAUAGAUAGAUAGAUAGAUAUAUAGAUAGAUAGAUAGAUAGAUAGAUAGAUAGAUAGAUAGAUAGAUAGAUAGAUAGAUAGAUAGAUAGAUAGAUAGAUAGAUAGAUAAUUGUUUAGAACUAGACAUGCUCCAUGUAGAAGACACGCAGUAGUGCAGAAAUGAAUUAUACUGCAACUCCGAACACUUCAUCCAGGACCAGGACCAGGCCCACGUCUUGAAGAGUGGCUAUGAGAGAAAUCCCUGUGUGUGUCUCUUUCUCUGGUUCCCUAUCUCUGUUUAUAUAUCUACAUACAUAUACAUAUGUGUGUGUGUGUGUGUGUCAACCCCAGUUGUGCGUAUAUGUACAUCACUACCUUUCUCUUUCACUCUCUCUAUGUAUAUAUAUAUUUGUAUAUGUAUAUGUAUUUAUAUAUAUAUAUAUAUAUAUAUAUAUAUAUAUAUAUAUAUGUGUGUGUGUAUAUAUGUAUCUGUAUGUAUGUGUGUGUAUGUAUAUGUCUGCUUGCGUGUGUUUGUGCCUAUGUAUUUAUACAUAUUACAACAUGGCAUACCGCGUGUACAGACGCACUCGUAUACAUAUAGAUGUAUCUGAACAUGCAGAGACUCAUGAUUAUUACUACUACUACUACUACUACUACUACUAAUAAUAAUAAUAAUAAUAAUAAUAAUAAUAAUAAUAAUAAUAAUAAUAAUAAUAAUAAUAAUAAUAAUAAUAAUGAUUACCCGAUGGUCAGCAAAUGCCUUUUCGGUUUAAGCUCUAGUUUAUCGCUCCUCCAGUGAUAAUGUGACCAUCACCAGUUUACGUAAUCCUGAUAGACCGAUUUACCUAUCAUAAGGCAAUUUAGUCAAUUAGUGCAGUUAAUAAAAUCAAAGUGCGUAAAAAAGUUUGAAAAUCACAUUGUACUAAAAAAAUGCACAUGCAGAUUUUAAGCCAACCUCGUUCUUCAUAGACAUGUAAACAACUUGAUUUCAUGUAAAAUACUCUCAUAGUCAGAAGAAAAAAAUCUCACUAAGACUGUUUUCCAAAGUUUUGCAGGGUUUUGUUUUAACUCUAGAUAUUGUCUAUAAAUAGCAUGCUUCAUUUCAUAUCCUUCACCUCGACUCAAUCACGAUCGAUUUUGACUUUAUUUUCGUACAAUAUUGAUAAGAAUGGGUACUUGCCAAUAUACCCGAGGCGAUUAGAUAAUCAACAAAACCCCCUUCAAAGUGGUCCACCAUCAUGCCGAAACCAAAUGACUGAAUUCUGUGAAAGACUGAAUAAUUAUAGAAAUAUAUUAUCGGAAUUAAGUUUCCAAUGGAAGUACGCAGUGUGCUUAAAGAGUUAAAAAAAAAAACACAUUAGCUAUACUCUCUGUGUUCAUCCGAAAACUCACAUAUACCUCUCGAUUUAUUCUAUUAUUAGUCCUCACACUUAGACUACGUUACGUUCAACAGAUCUACUAAGACCCAAAUAUAUACGUGUAUAUGUGUGUGUAUGUGUGUGUGUGCGUGUGUGUGUGUGUGUUUCAAUAUUUAGAAGUAAUACAAUGACUUACGGUAGGAGUGUUUCGUGCUUUGGCACUAAUCUCUUUGAUAAGUGCCAACGCACGAAAUUCUCGGACCUUGAAACACCUACUUCUGCAAAAUAUUGAUAAAAAAUAUACUUACACUCAUAUUUUGAGUUCUAUUUUUCCUGUCUCCAUCAACAUACCUAUAUAUAUAUAUAUAUAUAUAUAUAUAUAUAUAUAUAUAUAUAAUAUAAUAUAAUAUAAUAUAAUAUAAUAUAAUAUGAUAUAAAUAAUAUAUAUACAUAUAUACACACAUAUAUAUGUAUGUACAUAUGCAUAUAAGGGUACAGGGGGAAUACGAAAUACGAAAACAUGGAAUAUGAACAUUGUUUUACGAACAACGAAAGAAACAACUGGAAAACAAGACAAACAACAUAAAGAACGACCCUCCAUCAGUUGUCGGCUGUUUUUCUACUCCGUAUUUGGAGAAAAAAGGAGGCGGUCACAAGUUUGGAUAAUUCUUUAUUAUUAGUAUUUUCGAUCGUUUAAACAAACUUUUCAUUAUAAGAAUUAAAUUCAAAAUGAUAACGAUAAAAACAAAGCGUUUCCAAAAUUCUGACGGCCUCCCUUUUUCUCUACAAACAAUAUCUGUACGCCACUUCAAACGCUAUAUAUAGCAGGCAUGCAGGCAGAACGUUUAAUUUAGACAUGGCCUGAGCCAAUACUGGCCGAAACUUAGCUAAGCAUCUAAGUAUUUUACAGGGUUUCGCGGUGGGAGCGCUAAGUAGUGAUGUGUAUAAGUACAAAGUUAUUUCUAGUUCAGAUAUGUAUGGGACAUAUUCCAACGCUUAAGAAAGCCAUUCCCUGUGUUUCUUUUUCUUGCUGUAGACAUACACCAGUCUCAGAUGGCAGCGCCAAUUGCCAGACUGAAGGAUGCAAGCAUUACGGAGCGGUACACUCUUCUCCAGCUAGAGAAACCGGACAUGGUGCGCUGCGAGGUGGUAGGAGAGAUUGUCUCUCUUAUAAUAUCCUUGUCAUCGUGCAGUGAUUAGUAGCGCAAAUAGGCGACUCACCGCAAAGAAAUUACAGGGCAGUUAAACAGUACUGUGUACAGAUAUGAGGUUAUUACUAGUAUAUAUAUAUAUGUGUGUGUGUGUGUAUGUCUACAUAUACAUAAUGUACGCAUGUGUGAAUGUAUGUAUGUAUCUAUAUAUGUCUGCAUGUAUGUAUAUAUCUAUGAAUUUAUGUGUAUGAAUACCGUUGUCACUCUCAGUCACAGAACUAGAUUCACUCACUACUACAUUCCGUAUAUAAUUAAAAACAAUUGUUAAUUAAUAUUUUGAUUGUUUCAUCUGCCCUUUUUUUUUUUUACCAGAAUUGGUAAUUUAAAUAAUAUUUGUUCUCACCAAUAAUUAAACAAUAAUCAAAAUUCUUUAGUUUAUUAUUACAUCACUUCUGCCAGCAUCCACAUUAUUAAAUUUGUUGUAUGCAUUUGCCUUUGUAUUUUUGAUAGAAACGUAACGAAGGUUAGAUGUACGGUAUGCCGAAAGAAACGAGUUUUUGCUAAUUACUAUAAUAAUUAUGGCAGUGAAGAUUUUGAAAAUUACUAUGGUAACCUAGCUUCUUGAACUGAUUACUAACUUACAAAAAUAUAGAUACUCAUAUGCACACAUAUUUCAACAUAAUUAUAAGAGAAAAUAGUAAACUACAGGAUGCUUUGCUCUUUAUUUAGUAUAUUGCAUCUUGCAUGAGAGCUCAACAAUAUUCAUAGCUUUAUAAAGUAAAAGAUUAGACAGAAAGAUUAAACUUCUAAUACUUGUUAUAAAUGAUCUAUGGAUUCUAUGGUUAAUGUCCAACGAUUUCUUAUAUAAAUAUGAUAAAUGUGUUUGUGUAUAAACCACACUCGCGCAAACAUACGUACAGAUACACACACAUACAUAAAUACAGACAACAAUGAGACGCUACGGUUUGUUCUGUAUUCCCCUAUCUUACCAAUUCGAAAGCGGCUUUGUUUAACAGAAGUGUGUAUGCGUGUUUGCUUGCGUGAAUUUGUUUGUGUGAAUGUGUGUGUGCGUUUUGUGUGCUGCGCAUGCGUAAGUAUGUAUGCAGAUAACAAAAGAGGCUAGUGUUAUACCUUGCAUCCAGGCGGUUUUGUUUGGGUAAACUACACCAGAGGUUGGACACAGGUGCAAUUGUUUGGAGAAAGUUUCAAGAUCUAGUUUACAAUUACUAUAGAACUUCUAGAUCUUUUGAUUCAUUUAACAAUAAUUCUAAACACAGCUGGUCUGAUUGAUGUAAAAUAAUGUGAAAUGAAAGAGAAAGAAAAUAAACAUAGUCGUUGUUAAAAGAAUUUGGCAAAAAUACAUCCUACGAAUUGUUUCCCAAUCUUCAUCUGCUUCAUAUUCGUUUACUGUUCACGAGAACAUUGUCCUUAUCAUUCGUUAUCCAUGUUGCUUUGCGAGAAAUAUGGUGCAAGAAUACGGCUUAAUAUUAUUGUAGCUAAGGUUACCUGGAUAUGAAAAUGAUUUUCCAUUUAAUAGCGCAAAAUUUAACGAUGGUUUUUUUUUUCUUGUCUAUGACAAUAUUCCAGACAACAUACAUGAUCACAAAAUCACAAAUUUUAUAACAUGCAAAGUAAACACGGUGAUGUCAAUCGGAACACAGCCUCACGAAGGUCACUACUAGCUAUCACUGCGCACGCAACAGUGGGCUACCAUCUGUUGGCGCGCUACAGAAAUAGUCCGGCAGCUUUUUGAUACCACCUCGUGUAUAUAUAUAUAUAUAUAUAUAUACCCAUAGGCGUAGGAGUGGCUGUGUGGUGAGUAGCUUGCUUACCAACCACAUGGUUCCGGGUUCAGUCCCAAUGCGUAGCACCUUGAGCAAGUGUCUUCUACUAUAGCCUCGGGCCCACCAAAGCCUUUAAGUGGAUUUGGUAGACGGAAAGUGAAAGAACCCGUCGUAUAUAUGCAUACGUAUAUAUAUAUAUAUGUAUGUGUGUGUGUUUGUUCCCCCAACAUCGCUUGACAACUAAUGCUGGUGUGUUUACGCCCCCGUAACUUAGCGGUUCGGGCAAAAGAGACAAAUAGAAUAAGUACUAGGCUUACAAAAGUAUAAAUCCAGGGCUUGAUUUGCUCGACUAAAGGCGGUGCUCCAGCAUGGCCACAGUCAAAUGACUGAAACAAGUAAAAAGUAAAAGAGUAAGAGACACACACACAACAACAUGCAUAUACACAAUACACCCACAUAUGUAUGCGUAUAUAUUUUGUAUAUGUAUUUAUGAACGUAUGGGUGUAUACAUAUACAUAUUUAUUCAUAUCUUCUUUCCUUUUCUUCUGACAGUCGAUCGGCUGGUAAUUUUUAUCAUUUUAACUCUUUAAUUCUUUGUGCUUCUCCUUCUCAUUAGCCACUGUCGUUUUCUUCUUUUCCUUCUAAUCACUAGACCUAAAUUCUUCUCUUUUUCUUUCUCCUCUCCUCCUUCUUCUUCCCCUCCUUUUUGUCAUUCCUUCAUUCUUUGUUUGCCAAUCGCAUUUUUAAAGCUCUCUUUCUUUCAGUAACUUUCAGACUAAUCAGUCUGUCUCUAAACGUAUAAUCUUAUUUCUGCCUCUCAUCUCUGACAUACCAUCUUUCUUACUCAUCUUCUUCCCUCUUACGCUGACGCAAAAAUCUCUCCCACUUCUAUUUCUUUCUUCCUCUCCCCUUUCUCACUAUCUCUCUCCCUCUCUCCCUCUAAUUCUUUCCUUGAUCGUUGUCGUUCCUGAGACAUGUUUGUCUGUCGAUAAACCAUCCAUUUUUUUAUUUUUCUACAACAUUUUCUUUCCUUUUCCUUCGAAUUUUCCUUCAUUUUCUCUCUUCAUCCAUUUUACUCUUUUUUUUUGUCACUCUUUUACUUGUUUCAGUCAUUUGACUGUGGCCAUGCUGGAGCACCGACUUUACUCGAGCAAAUCGACCCCAGGACUUAUUCUUUGUAAGCCUAGUACUUAUUCUAUCGGUCUCUUUUGCCGAACCGCUAAGUGACGUGGACGUAAACACACCAGCAUCGGUUGUCAAGCGAUAUUGAGGGGGGGGCUUAUACAUACACACACACAUACACAUAUAUAUAUAUAUAUAUAUAUACAUAUAUAUACGACGGGCUUCUUUCAGUUUCCGUGUACCAAAUCCACUCACAAGGCUUUGGUCGGCCCGAGGCUAUUGUAGAAGACACCUGCCCAAGGUGGCACGCAGUGGGACUGAACCCGGACCCGUGUGGUUGGUAAGCAAGAUACUUACCACAGAGCAACUUCUUUUUCUUCUUUUCCAUUUCCUUUGUGGUUUUUGUUAUUGUUAUUACUCUUACAGUUAUUGCUAGCGUUGAUCUUUUAGUGCCAACCUUGCUCUUCUAGUUCGGUUCAGUGUGGAUCCUACGUCCACCAUUCAUUGUUUUCCUCGAAUAAUGUCGUUAUUUUCAUCAGUAAAAGACAUUCUUAUUCCUGUUCUUAAUCUUCUUGCUUUUCGUCUGUUGCCUACUUAUUUUUCAUUUGAAAUUGUCAUGAUUAUUGCUUUUGUUGUUGAAUUGAUGUUAUUGAUAAUUUAAUUUUUUUUUGUUGUUGUUGUUUUGUGAUAUUUCAGUCGCACUAAAAUGGCGAACAU
rnacentral:lncRNA from 1 species